rnacentral:lncRNA from 1 species
AUUAAACAAGAUUACAAAUUUAUAUUUAGAAUCUAAAUUUUCAAACUUUUGGUACCAACCUACUAUUUUUUUGUGGUUUAAAGUCAUUGGAAACUAAUAUAAUGUCAUUUUAGUAACCUAAAACCACACAUAAUUUUUAACUAAUUAUUCUUAAAUUCAACUCUAAUUUUUUUUAUAUUCUAAAAAAAUUAAUCUUGAUUCAAUUUUUUAUAAGAU